UUUUUUUUUUUUUUUUUUUUUGGACGGAGUCUCGCUUGUUGCCAGGCUGGAGUGCAGUGGCGAUCUCGGCCCUGCAGCUCCGCCUCCGGGUUCACGCCAUUCUCUGCUCAGCUCCGAGUAGCUGGACUACAGGCCCAACCGCGCCGGCUAAUUUUUGUAUUUUAGUAGACGGGUUCACGUGUCUCAUCUCCUGCCUUUGAUCCGCCCGCCUCGCCUCCAAGUGCUGAUUACAGCGUACCCGCCCCUGUUUUUUUUUUUAAUCCAAAAUGUGUUUAUUGAGAUGAUUUCCCACUCAUCUUGAUUCAGAGUGCCUUUAGUGCUGCUUCCUCUUAAAGCAACAUCCUUCUGUAAGCCUUGCUUUUCCUCCUGUAGGCUGGCAGAGGACAGUGGAGCAGCCAACACACAAAACUACCUUUUGUGCAUGGCUAAAGACCAUGGUGAUUUUAUAGCAUCCUGGGCAUUUCACAUCCAUGAAGUAGGAAUUGGGGCUCUGCACCAGGUGUUUCUUCUUGUGUUUCCUCUUCUCCUCUUCUGGGGAGGGAUGAAGGAGAUCCUUUGCGAGAGGCAUGUUCUCGUGUGGGUAGGUCGUCACCGCCGGAAAAGCCCCUGUCUCUUAAAAACAAAACAAAGCAAAAUGAGAGGAGAGAGACACAGAGGGAAGAUGAUGUGAAGAGGGAGGAAGGGAGAAAAUCAUGACAACAGAAACAGAGAUUCCAGUGAUGGGUCUACAAGCCAAGGAACGCCAAAGGUUGUCGGCAACCACCAGAAUCUAGAGGCGCAGGGAAGGAUUCUCCCCUACACCAUUCAGAGUGAACACGGCCCUGCUGACAUCUUGAGUUCAGACUUCUGGCCUCCAGGACUGUGAGAGAAUAUCUUUGUGUUGUUCAAAGUCCCCGCUUUGUGCCACUUUGUUAUGGCAGCCCUAGCUCACCGAUUCUGGCUGGAUAAGGGGUAAUUUCUGCGAGCCUGCCGAAACGCCUUACUCAAUAGGGGUCUUCCUGUGUUGUCCAGGUUGGUCUCCAACUCCUGGCCUCAAGUGCUUCUCCAGCCUAGUGCUGGGAUUACAGGUGUAAGCCACCACAGUUGGCCCCAGCAUUUCUUUUGGGGGACACUGUUCAACCCACUACACCGUGGACAUUUUUAAUUUGUUCUGGGUCUUACCAAAAAUGGUUCUCAUGUUUCACUAUUAAGCAAGACAUUUCUGUAGGAUCCUGGAAAUUGCUGCUUCUCAAAUUAAGGAAGCUUUAUCCUGUUCUCUGUUAACUAAGCAUUUAUUUUUUUGUGCUUAUCUUCAUUUUAAAUGAAGAAUGAGUGUUGAAUAGACAUAUCUCAUAAUUGCAAUGUGGAGAAGACAAAAACAAGUUCCGGAAGGAUAUAGACCAUGUGAUGACAUUUUAAUAAAGCUCCCAGAUGUGCAAAACAGCCCAAUAUAUUCACCAUGGAAAGAUGUGUAAUUAAAGCAUUUUAAAAUAGGAUAAACACCAAGUUUGGGAGGGCAGUGGCCUUGGGGAGGGGAAUAAGAGGAGGCUGGGGUACAAGAGACCUCCACUCUGUUUGCUAUGAUUUGUUAUGUGACGAUGUUAUUUGUUAUAUGAUGUUAUUUGUUACGUUAUGUUAUUUGUUAUGUGAUGAUUUUUAAGAAGAUCUGAAAUAUGUGAAGAUGUCAAAACUUGAUAAAGGCGAGUGGAAGGCAUAAACGUUUUCAUUUUUUCCUGCAUACUCAUACCUCUUUGCAUACUUUAUAAUAAAAAAUAAAAGCAAAGCCAAACUUCAGAGCGACAACCAAUACACCACAUGCCCUUUGCAGUGGGCUGGCUUCCCUGGUUACAGCAAUCCUCUCAUCUCUGCAGAGAAUGGAAACCAGAGUGGUCAUGGCCUUGGAGCUGAAUCCUGUGACUUUUACCUUCUUCCCACAUUCACCCAAACCUCUUGUCCCUGCUAUUCAGGUCCUUGUAUGAUGUGACCACAGCUGACACCCUAGCCCCAGAUGAUUGCCCCUGAAUUAGUCUUAGCUUCUCCAACAAGUCCUGUUCCCUAUUCUCCCAAUCUUUGCAUGUGCUGAUACCAUGUUGGGACCGUUCUUUAAUGUAUCCAUCUCCUCUGGAAUAAUUCUGACCCCUUCCCCAGGCAUCACCUCCUUCAGGAAGUCCUCCAGGCUCAGCCAGUGUCUCCAGUGGUUCUCACAGUCUCUUGUACUUCCCAGACUCAUCAUAUUGUCUUCAAAUUCCCUUGUUACAUGUUCCCCACCCACCUGAGAAACAGGCCUCCCUUCCUUGUCCUGGGCCAGGGAUAGAGGGUAGAGGUCUGCUGCCUCCUUCUAGGACCUCUCUUCCCCUCUCAGUUACCCUGCAGUGAGGUCUGGGCACAGGACAUUGAUGGGCAGCCUUCUGGCUUCCUCGCUAAGC
ensembl:lncRNA